GGAUGGGUGGCUGAGUGGUUAAAGGCAGCAGACUGUAAAUCUGCCGACGGUGGUCUACGGAGGUUCGAAUCCUCCCCCAUCCA
rnacentral:tRNA from 1 species